UUCAGUGGAGGCCGUGAAU
rnacentral:misc_RNA from 1 species